rnacentral:lncRNA from 1 species
UGGGUCUUUGGAUUCCUAGAUCUUACGGUUGGAUACUCAUGGAAGGAAAAAAAAGAAAAAAAACAAGACUGAAAUCGGUGAAUGAUUUUGAGCAGACGUGGCCCAAGCAAAUUCCAUGAUAACUAAGAUACAGGUGCUUCAGUUCUCUUAGAGUAGGUUUUGAUUUGACAAAUAAAAAAAUCCAGCAACGAAAUCAGUUGGUAUGAUGCUGUUGGGGCCUCUCAAUAAAAAAAAUCUAAGAUUUAAUUUCCAGCUACCAAACAUAUGACCUACCAAGACAAUAAAAAGCUGAAAACCAUGUAUAAAACGAACAUAUAUCGUACCGAUCCAAUAUGGUCAUACGGUUACUUAUCUAAACCACAAAGAAU